rnacentral:hammerhead_ribozyme from 1 species
AUCCAGAUAACGAGUCCCAAACAGGACGAAAUGCGCAGCCUGGAU